GGAAACGGUAGCUAAUACCGCAUAACGUCGCAAGACCNAAGUGGGGGACCUUCGGGCCUCAUGCCAUCAGAUGUGCCCAGAUGGGAUUAGCUGGUAGGUGGGGUAACGGCUCACCUAGGCGACGAUCCCUAGCUGGUCUGAGAGGAUGACCAGCCACACUGGAACUGAGACACGGUCCAGACUCCUACGGGAGGCAGCAGUGGGGAAUAUUGCACAAUGGGCGCAAGCCUGAUGCAGCCAUGCCGCGUGUGUGAAGAAGGCCUUCGGGUUGUAAAGCACUUUCAGCGGGGAGGAAGGCGAUAAGGUUAAUAACCUYGUCGAUUGACGUUACCCGCAGAAGAAGCACCGGCUAACUCCGUGCCAGCAGCCGCGGUAAUACGGAGGGUGCAAGCGUUAAUCGGAAUUACUGGGCGUAAAGCGCACGCAGGCGGUCUGUCAAGUCGGAUGUGAAAUCCCCGGGCUCAACCUGGGAACUGCAUUCGAAACUGGCAGGCUAGAGUCUUGUAGAGGGGGGUAGAAUUCCAGGUGUAGCGGUGAAAUGCGUAGAGAUCUGGAG
rnacentral:rRNA from 1 species